UACGAAGGGUGCAAGCGUUACUCGGAAUUACUGGGCGUAAAGCGUGCGUAGGUGGUUCGUUAAGUCUGUCGUGAAAGCCCCGGGCUCAACCUGGGAAUGGCGAUGGAUACUGGCGGGCUAGAGUGCGGUAGAGGAGAGUGGAAUUCCCGGUGUAGCGGUGGAAUGCGCAGAUAUCAGGAAGAACACCCGUGGCGAAGGCGGCUCUCUGGAACGCAACUGACGCUGAGACGCGAAAGCGUGGGGAGCAAACAGG
rnacentral:rRNA from 1 species